AGAGAACAAGAGACCGUGAUGUAAGAGAACAAGAGACCGUGAUGUAAGAGAACAAGAGACCGUGAUGUAAGAGAACAAGAGACCGUGAUGUAAGAGAACAAGAGACCGUGUUGUAAGAGAACAAGAGACCGUGUUGUAAGAGAACAAGAGACCGUGAUGUAAGAGAACAAGAGACCGUGAUGUAAGAGAACAAGAGACCGUGAUGUAAGAGAACAAGAGACCGUGAUGUAAGAGAACAAGAGACCGUGUUGUAAGAGAACAAGAGACCGUGUUGUAAGAGAACAAGAGACCGUGAUGUAAGAGAACAAGAGACCGUGAUGUAAGAGAACAAGAGACCGUGAUGUAAGAGAACAAGAGACCGUGAUGUAAGAGAACAAGAGACCGUGAUGUAAGAGAACAAGAGACCGUGUUGUAAGAGAACAAGAGACCGUGUUGUAAGAGAACAAGAGACCGUGAUGUAAGAGAACAAGAGACCGUGAUGUAAGAGAACAAGAGACCGUGAUGUAAGAGAACAAGAGACCGUGAUGUAAGAGAACAAGAGACCGUAAAAUUAGAGAACGAAUCCCCGUGGCCCAUGAUGUCGUACUUUAAAGUUAUUUAUAGAUUGCGCGAGCUUGUCAAUGAUGGUCUCUUGGGUUCAUUAGGCUGAAAACAGGCGUGUCUGCUUUCCGAUAAAUAGAAUAUAUACUAAAUAUAAAACAUAAUUACAGUAGCGCAUUUUUAUUUGUUUUUUAUCUAAAUUGUUGCCAUGGUAACCACAUAGCCUUGCCGUCAUCGCAACCUCGUCCGAGUCCUGGCACUACGCGGUCAGCGGAAAUUCGAAUUAUUGGGGAGACUGGGACGACUCACGCAUUUGCGCUCAAACCCCUUGGGGGAUUCCCUGCUAACAGGUAAACAGUGACCAGUGCGUAGCCUUAUAAGGUAUAUAGACGGAACCUGGAAAAACCAUACAAGGUAUAUAGACGGAACUUGGUGAAACCUUAUAAGGUAUAUAGACGGAACCUGGAAAAACCAUACAAGGUAUAUAGACGGAACUUGGUGAAACCUUAAAAGGUAUAUAGACGGAACCUGGAAAAAACUUAUAACAUGUGCGGUAAGGUUUAUUUUCGUGAUCCGUGAACGUUUGUUUAUCGUGAAUCGUGAAAAGGACAAAUUGAAAACCGUGAUCCGUGAUUGCUAACUUCGCCGUGAUUCGUGAAUGGCGAAAUUUGAUCAGUGUAAAUCGUAAUCUAUGCUCUUUAAAAAUCGAAGGUGAUUUCCGAGUAAAUAUUGAUCAUUGUCCUCAGUUUAUCAAUUUAUCGUAAGACGUGAUUUCCGAUUUUUAAAACUCGUGAAACGUGCAGCGACCCUCCCUAACCGCCCCUUAUAUAUGUACAAGACGAAACUUGGAAAAAACAUGUAACCCGAGUGCUCUUUUUCAUCGAUUUUUGGGUUAAAACAACUGAUUAAAAAAGUCGAAACUUCUUCUAUGACUGUAUGUUCUAUUCUAGUAACCGGCGGUUUGUUCUUCGUGGUCGCGAUGUUGGUGCUGUGACAAGUGUAGAAAUUCUACAUGUUGGGCUCCCAACUGAUCCAGUUUGGAAAAUCCGAAAGAUACUGAUCGUCGCUCGUUCAUUCUGAAUAGAGACGUGUCUACCGAUGGGUCCGUGUACAUAUGAGUUGCCCGAAAGGAUUCCGCAGAAACCACGGUACUGGAGCAUGUGAAGCCUUUUCGCCCUCUACUGGCUUAGCUCCAGUGUUCGAACGUUUCGUGACCCCUUUAACCUGAUUUUAAAUGAUAAUACCACUUUGGAGUGUUACGUCAAGGAUGUGGAUCAACCGCAAGUCAUGGUGAAAUGGGAAGUCGAGGGGGGUGUACCACAUGACUUCCUGGGCACUCCUAAAAUAACCGAACUGACUGACGCUGGUGGUAAACCCAUCGGCUCGUUAUCAAGAAGCCCACUGAGUAUAACGCUGACCUGAAAUACUACUGCCACGCAUGGAACCCAUUUGAAUCAACCCGUCAAAAGCUGCCGCGAAAAUGGACCCGCAGAUAUACCAAUGUUAUAAGGUUAGUAUAUUAAGAUUUCAAUAUUAAGUAUUGGGCGUUUAUGGUCGGGUUUAAGCACCGUAAAACGAUGGAAAAAGAAUUCUAACCUUAACCUAACCAAGACUCCAGCAUCGAAGAGUAUUGGUUUGGAGAUUGUGGUUAAUCGAGCGAGACUUCGCAAUCAAUGCUGGGCUGCUGUUGGCGCUGCUUGUCUUGCAGCCAUAACAUACCCUCUGAUGCUUUUUUAAACCAAUAUAAGAAGAAAAAUGAUGACAAGGGACACCAGGGCGCCCUUAAAUACCCAAUUCAAUCGAAAAUACACGAUAGAUUGCCCAAACCAGCAAAUCAGGGCCGUAGCAGACCUCGAAAUAUUGGAGGGACACAAUACAGAAACAUUAAGAAAAUAUUUGGGGGUACGGCCACGCCCUUAUAAUUGUUGAAGAUAUCGGGGGGGGGGGGGGAGGCACGUGCCCCGCCCCCUUCUACGGCCCUGCAAAUGGAGAUAGAUGCUUUCUCAUACGCGGUGUUUUACUAGGAAGUGAAAAGGGGCGUACAACGUCGUAAUCAAGGGGGAUGGGAGAAAAUCCUGGUUGCGAAGAUAUGUAGACAAAUUUGUCAAAUGUUCAUUCAUUUUUAUCUCACUUUUUUCAGCGGCUAAGACCUGAUCGUGGAAACUGCGAAAAA